rnacentral:rRNA from 1 species
CUGGGUGGAUUAGUGGCGAACGGGUGAGUAACACGUGAGUAACCUGCCCUUGACUCUAGGAUAAGCCCGGGAAACUGGGUCUAAUACUGGAUAGGAACGUCUACCGCAUGGUGGAUGUUGGAAAGAAUUUCGGUCAUGGAUGGACUCGCGGCCUAUCAGCUUGUUGGUGAGGUAAUGGCUCACCAAGGCGACGACGGGUAGCCGGCCUGAGAGGGUGACCGGCCACACUGGGACUGAGACACGGCCCAGACUCCUACGGGAGGCAGCAGUGGGGAAUAUUGCACAAUGGGCGAAAGCCUGAUGCAGCGACGCCGCGUGAGGGAUGACGGCCUUCGGGUUGUAAACCUCUUUCAGUAGGGAAGAAGCGAAAGUGACGGUACCUGCAGAAGAAGCACCGGCUAACUACGUGCCAGCAGCCGCGGUAAUACGUAGGGUGCGAGCGUUAUCCGGAAUUAUUGGGCGUAAAGAGCUCGUAGGCGGUUUGUCGCGUCUGUCGUGAAAGUCCGGGGCUUAACCCCGGAUCUGCGGUGGGUACGGGCAGACUAGAGUGCAGUAGGGGAGACUGGAAUUCCUGGUGUAGCGGUGGAAUGCGCAGAUAU